ensembl:lncRNA
AUGCUUUUUGUUUUAGAAUGUCCACAACAGCUGGCCGGUUCUAUUGAUUGUGGAAUCUUCAUGUUGAUGGUGGCAGUUCAUGAGAUGGAGCAGGUACAGGUCUCCUCUGUCCCUCAUAAGUUUGUGUCUGGACUUUGACACCAAGUUCAAGACAACAACAGAAGUGCACACAUCUAAAUCUGACUCACUGCUGACUUGACACAGAGAUUAAAUGGUCUUACCGAUUGGGGUUUUCGUUUGUGAAAUGUUGGAUCAAUGUAAGUGAUCUCUUCUUCACAACUCUGAACUGUUUAAACAAAACUUACAGAUAAAUUAAAACAACUCAAUCUUAACUAGAUGUUUCCUUACAACAUCAAGGCUCAAAUAUAAGCAUUAAUGCACACGUUUUAACAAAUAUUUAAUGCUGCAUUUAAAAAAAAAUGUCAGUAAAUAAUUUAUUCAGCUUGACAUUAGGAAUGUUACACACACAAAGUUCUUAGCAGAGUAAGCAAUGAGAAAUUCU